UAAGUGAACGGGAAAAUGGGAAAGUUUACGGCACAUUUUUUGGUAUUUUUAGGGUGAAAAGUGCUUGUCUCUGCAGUUCAGCUCAUAGAUUGAAGCUUGGAGAAUGUCAAAUGGAGGUUGAAUUGUGCUCAACUAGUUUUGAUUUAGAUAUAUGAAGACAGAAAGGAGGGAGUGUUACCCGGAUGGCGCCAUUGUCUGACAGGUUCAGUUAUAUGCGCAACUCACAAGUGCUCAAAAAGGCUGCAAGAUGCCUAGCUAGCAACCGCUCCAACCAGUUUGAAGGAAGAAAGGGUGUACUUCUCCACAGGUUUCCUCAAGACCCAGAUGUGUACAGCGAAAGGACUGGCGCAUCAGGUGAAGAUGGAUUGGUGGCAACAUGUGUCGGAAGGGGGCAAGCUUGGUCAUGCGGCACACUUCAUGAUGAGGGCUCCUUCGAUUGCACAGACCAGCUAUGGUGCAGUCCCAUCAGGUCUUUCUUCCCUGCUCACCUGCAGGACCAUUUCAAUAGCUGCCAGAGCUGCGGGGGCUGAAGCAAAGGCUAGAAAAAGCUGCGACCAGGACGUUGGCCUGUUCCAAGCAGUCUCGAAACGCACACAAGAACGGGAAAAUGUCGAUCCGGACAGCACGCCCCAGGGAGCGUCACUCGUCAGAGGCGGUCUCGCGACGGGCAGGCCGGGCGGUGCCCAGGGAACAGCGUCACCCGUCUGUGGCUGCCCCGAUGGACAGGCCGGGCGGCACUCCGGCAGCAGCUGCAUCCGUCUGUAGCGGCCCCGACAGCAGGCUGGGCGGCACCUUGGGAGCAGUGGCACACGUUUAUGCGUGGGGUGGCCCCGACGGCAGACCGGGCAACAGAGGCAGUGUACAGGCCACAGGGAAUAGCGGCACCCGUCUAUGGUGGCCCCGACGGCAGGUCCGAGGUCGGACACCGAGGCGGCUCCCAGGGAGCAGCGGCACCCGUCUGUGGCGGCAUCGACGGCAGGACGGGCGGUGCUGAUGUAGUAGCGUCUAUUUUGCUGAUAAACGUUAGCGAUAUAGGCAUCAUCCUAGUCACCAUGCUCAGGCGCGUCGAUGAUAUGGGCGGUGUUUCACGGGACGCUGCUACCACGCUGCUAUCAAAUUGCGCGA